CCUCUCUCGUAACUAUCUUCCAAUUCUCUCACUUUCCCAAUUCACACUUUAUCAACCCUAAUUCGCACAAACCUCUUAUUUCCCCCAAAUAUUCAUGAUUCCUAAUUGAUAUUAGAAGAAAUCAAAACCUAGAACACACUCAUCAUCUUCCUCUUCUUCCAUAAACCUCUUUCUCUCAUUCCUCUCUCUCUCUCUCCUGCCAUGAAAAUCGAGAACACAAUCUCAUCAGAAACCUUCCAUCAUCGUUGAGAGAAGAAAAAGUCAGAGAGAUGUUAGAGCCAGAGGUUGAGUUCUUACCAAGAGCUGAUUACUUCAAGAGACUGUGUUCUGGGAUUGGGAGGCGCGUGUUAGAAACCAAGCUCUGGAUUGGAUUCUAAAAGGUUUGUGCUCAUUACAGUUUUGUUGUCGUCUGCUCGUGUCUGUUCACCGCUGUGAAGUAGCCCUAAUUGAAGCUCUACGCCACCGACAAGUACCAUCCACAGUCGUCUCAUGUGUCAUCAUUCUCUGCUCUCACCGCGGCGUUGUGGCCAUGCUCAAGAUCAUUGUGCAGGAGGACACUACCACUUAACUUAUGUUCCCGUCAACACAAACAGAGUAGCUAAGGAGAUUGCUUCCAGCAUUACGCGUGAUAUGCGUCUUCAGUCUUAUGUGACUCAGGGUGGUCCCUCGUGGCUUCAAUCUCUUAUCCAUACGGAAGCUGCAGUGAAUACUAGAGAUGGAGAUGCUGGAGGUAUGACAGCAUGAUCUUGGACAUGUAUCAUUCUCUGGCUGCAGGUGUUUUGUUCAUCCUGCUCCUUAUAUUUUUUCGACCAACGUAUGGGUUUCGUUUGGCACCUACUGGUGUAAUUGUCUUUAUAUUAUUUACAGGUUUCCUUCAGACUCGUUUUGGUUGAACAUGUUGGUUUCGGCAUUAAUUUGAUUUCAAUGACAAAAAAAAUCGUAACCUUGUCUAUAUUUCUGCAUCCACAAUUAUU